rnacentral:lncRNA from 1 species
CUAUGAUUUUAGAUGCCCAUGUAAUUUUCGAUGACUCCUAUUGGCAUCACCUUGAAGUGUGGUUAGUGUUCCACCAUCUAGAGCUCGUGAAAAUAUUUGAUCUACCCCAAGAACGUCAGCUCAACACUCAGUGACGUCUCAUUGGUAGCUGGAAAAUGACCAUGGUGGGAGUUUCUACAUCAUGGAAACUGGCAAAUGCUGCACAUCAGAAGUUUCUUUUCUUGGAGAGCCAAUUGUUAAACUUUUACCAUUCUUUAUUGGCUUUUCUCCUUUCCCCUACUCCCUCAGAAUACUUUCUGAGAUCACCCUGCAGAUAAACUAUUUGCACACAAAUCUUCGUCUCAGAGUUUGCUUUUGGAGAAAUGCAAACUAAAACAAUAGGAGAGAAAACUCUGACUGUUCCAGGCUGAAGCUGCUGCUCAUCUCUGGAUCAAUUAGCUACAGCCAGGGAGCUGGGCCUCUUGGCACAGAGCUGGCCACUGAGUACCCACCCUUAUAAAUGAGUGCAGUUUCCAAGCAAUGAAGACUUGUUGGGAGCCCCACAGUAACUGCAAGGGAGGCCUAAAGAAACUCUCGGCCUGGUGAAAGUGUACAUGAAAGGAGACAUUUGAGGGAAAAGAAGCUGAUGUGGAAUUGAAAGGAAUCGAAUCUUCUCUACUCAGCAAGGCUUGUGGGUGUCGUGGGUGUGAAACUCAAGGGCUGCAGAGUACUUUAGGUAAAAUAACAAAGGUAUGGUGUAAGCCAGCAAGCUGAGAGUAGAACAGACAGCAGAAUCAUUUCCUCUAAUCUCCCCGUCUGAGUCAUUCACGUAAGAAAUGUGCCACCAUUGCCAAGAACCUCUGCCUUGCUGACUUCCCAGCUCUCUGUGGCCCGCUGCCAGCCUGGAGUGAGCAGCUGGGUUGUGAGCCUAGUAUGCGGUAACAGUGCUGUUAAAGUCCUUUUGUUCAGAAUAAGGAUAUGCCCUGAAAACAGCAGCUCAUUCUGCGGAUAGUCAUCAGUACUCUCAGUGAAAUGAUAGCCAAUCAAUUGUUGAACCAUUUGAGCAGUAAAGGGAGUUCCCUCGGGGAAUCCAUUUUAAUGCAGAAUGCACAAGACUGAGAAGCAUUGGGAAAGCCAAAAAAUAAUGGAACAGGUCAAGGAAGACAUUCUGAUCCUACCAAUCGAAUCUUUCCUGCUCCAGACAUUCUGAUCCUAUGAUGCAUUUGAGAGCUUGGAAAGCAAGACAAUCCUUCCUUGGUGUUUGUGGCAGCUUAGUUCCAGGUCACCACAAGGAUACCCAAAUUCGUGGAAGCUCAAGCCCCUCAGUCGGCCCUCCCUAUUCUCAGGUUCCACAUCAUCCGCAGAGUCAACCAACUGUGGAUGGUAAACGAUCCACGACUGACCACAGAACCAUGGUUAUGGAAGGCCAACUGUACACCUGCAGCCAAUUUGAAGCUGGUUUAAAGGUUCAUAUUUGAGGCAGCUAAAUAGCUUUGGAAGUCAG